GAUUAGCUUCAAUAGGAGAUUCUAUCGGUUUACAACCCACCAUGCCUGUCUCAUCUAAGAGGUCUAGUAUGUACUUCCUUUGAGAGAUAAAAAAUCCCUUUGUCUUCUCUGGCAACUUUUAUUCCAAGGAAGUAUCUUAAUCUUCCCAAUUCUUUAAUCUCAAAUUCCUGAGCCAAGCGCUCCUUUAGAUGAGCAAUCUCU
rnacentral:misc_RNA from 1 species